rnacentral:rRNA from 1 species
AACGCUGGCGGCGUGCCUAACACAUGCAAGUCGUACGAGAAAGUUGGCUUCGGCCGAUGAGUAAAGUGGCGCACGGGUGAGUAACGCGUGGAUAAUCUACCCCUCAGUUGGGAAUAACUCAUCGAAAGGUGGGCUAAUACCGAAUAAUACUGCAUGACUUCUGUUGUGUAGUCAAAGAUGGCCUCUGCUUGCAAGCUAUCGCUGAAGGAUGAGUCCGCGUACCAUUAGCUUGUUGGUAGGGUAAUGGCCUACCAAGGCAACGAUGGUUAGCUGGUCUGAGAGGAUGAUCAGCCACACUGGAACUGAGACACGGUCCAGACUCCUACGGGAGGCAGCAGUGAGGAAUAUUGCGCAAUGGGGGCAACCCUGACGCAGCAACGCCGCGUGAGUGAGGAAGGUUUUCGGACCGUAAAGCUCUGUCGAGCGGGAAGAAAUGCGUAGUGGCUAAUAUCCAUUAUGCUUGACGGUACCGCUAAAGGAAGCACCGGCUAACUCCGUGCCAGCA